rnacentral:lncRNA from 1 species
UUUGGACGAGCUGCCCAGAGCCAAUGCAGCGCUCCUGCGCUAUCUUUUUGGAGUGCUGCACAACAUUCAGCAGCAUUCGUCCGUCAAUCAGAUGACAGCUUACAACUUAGCCACCUGCAUAGCCCCAAGCAUUCUUUGUUUGCCCAAUGCCUGCAGGCAGAAUUAGAAAGUGACAUCACAAGAAAGAUUUCUCUUGUGCAAUUUUUGAUUGAGAAUUGCCUCCAGAUCUUUGGAGAAGACAUUGCUUCCCUCCUGGGGGAGAGCUCCAUGCAUUGUGAUGGCAGCGAGAAGCCUGAAGAUCCUUCAACUGACUUCGGAGAAGACAUUGCUUCCCUCCUGGGGGAGAGCUCCAUGCAUUGUGAUGGCAGCGAGAAGGCUGCAGAUCCUUCGACUGACUUCGGAGAAGACAUUGCUUCCCUCCUGGGGGAGAGCUCCAUGCAUUGUGAUGGCAGCGAGAAGCCUGCAGAUCCUUCGACUGACUUCGGAGUGUCAACCAAGCAACCUUUCGAAUCCAAGCCCAGUGAGAGUGAUAGUGACUUACAAAAAGGCACAACUGCAGAAUGACGCCGAGGCCCCACGUGGCGUGGGUCCACCCAGCUCCCUGUCUGCAAUGCUUUCAGUCACUGAAGAUUAGAGUCUCCAUAAUCAUACUCGACCCUUUCCUUUCCUUUCCUUCCUGUAAUAUCCCACCAAGAACGCUUUCUCCAAAAUUCUACUACCUCCGUUAUGUUCUCAUCACGUAGACACCAGUCAGCUAAUGCCCCCGAAAUCAUUUUCAGCCCCUUGUAACAAAAAAGUGUGUGGGGGUGGUGAAUUUCUAGAAAAAUACAGGGUCAGAAAAGGAAAGUUUUCGUAGCUCCUGGGAAUCACCUCAGGACUCAAGAACAGUAAUUCCUGAGCUUGAAGAUUCCAGUCCUCAGUCACCACAGGGUCAGUAGAUUAGAUGGAAGGAUCCUCUCAGACAUCUCAGGAAAUAAGCUCCCAACGUGUCAGAGACCAAUUUUCAAAAAGUUAAACACAUGAAUCUCACACAAUAGAGUCUAAACUUGAGUCCAAAUGUUAUUCAACUCAUCUUACUGAGGAGACCAGUAAGGUGGUAAAGAAUGUUUUUGAGUAUAGUACUUUUAUGGCACCAAGCUGGGGCCAAAGAAGCAAAUUUUCUUUGUUGGACAUAAACAGUUAAUGUUUUAAAGGGUAAUCAAUCUAUAAGCUUUGAAUUUAUCUUCUCCUGUGACAAAAAUCUACAAAUUAACAUUAUUCUAUUUUUAUGAAAUACAGUGAAGGACAUCCAGAUUUGGACUCCUCCAUCUUACACUUCCCAUGCAAGCUUUCCUGGAGGGGAAUCUGUCCUCCCUCUGUCAACUCUCUCACCCACCCUUCACUUCUCACCCUGCUGACAUGUGGCCUCUCCCUGUCUUCCUUUCCAGCAGCCUCAGUAGAUCACAUUCAACCGAUCACCAAGCCCCUUCACCUGACAAACCAAAGCACAUCUUCUGGGAUUCCUAAGGCACUUGCCCUGCCAGGGUCUCGUAAUUCCUGAAUUCUAAUCUCGUUUCACUGGUAGUUCACUUCUCCCAGGUCAUGUGAUUUAUCUCCAUCUUCCUCUGUUUAUAUGGUUUCAUGGACUUUUCUACAUCUUCGCCUAAACCCGAGGACUCUUCACGUCAUUCCCAGGUGCCCUCAGCUCUAGUGUUGCCUCUGAUUCCCUGCUCUCCUAUCAUCCCACCAACGCUCAUCCCAUCACAGACCCAUGAGUGCAGCAGUGUCUUCUCUGGCCUCCCUGUCUCCAGUGGUGAAGUUGGGGAAGGAUGGCCCCAUGUAUGCCUCCCACCCUAAUGUUCCUACUUCAGGGUAAGCUCCCUGAGCAGGGAUGAGGCUGUCUAGCACAGCCUGGCAUUCCACUGCCAACCACCAGACUCAACACCAGGAAAAUAAUGAAACCCAAACCAUCAGGAACGGUAUCACUUGAGCAGAGCAUAGGUGCAAGUACCAUCCGUGUUAUAUGCAGAAACAUUCACCUUGACCCCAGGGGGGAUCUGGGCUGAGACUAGAUGACUGAAAUCUCUGGGCGAUGGUGAACACAGAAUUGGGGGACAGCAGAUAUGAAGACGCACUGAGCCACAUGCCAGACGCCCCAAGCGCAGAGAGAGCUUGUGAGCUUCUAGCGGUGGAGACUUGACACACUGCGGGAGAGGAAAAUGAAGUUACUGGACCCACUGAAACGGGACUCAUUGAUCCUCUAGCCCAUGGUGGGCAGUGUGCAUCAGCAUGGUCCUUCAGACGUAAACAGCACAGCCCAG